UACGUAGGGUGCGAGCGUUGUCCAGAAUUACUGGGCGUAAAGAGCUUGUAGGUGGUUUGUCGCGUUGUUCGUGAAAUCUCACGGCUUAACUGUGAGCGUGCGGGCGAUACGGGCAAACUAGAGUAUUGCAGGGGAGACUGGAAUUCCUGGUGUAGCGGUGAAAUGCGCAGAUAUCAGGAGGAACACCGAUGGCGAAGGCAGCUCGCUGGGACGGUACUGACGCUGAGGCGCGAAAGCGUGGGGAGCAAACAGG
rnacentral:rRNA from 1 species